rnacentral:tRNA from 1 species
GCCCACGUAGCUCAGUAGGUAGAGCGUCACCUUGGUAAGGUGGAGGUCACCAGUUCGAUCCUGGUCGCGGGCUCCA